AACUCAUCUGGUUCUGCAGCUCCUCCUCUCUGCAGAGCAAAGUGACAUCCUCCAUUCAAACACAUCCAAACAAAACUCCGCAGGAUGAGACUAAAUUCUCUGCUAUUCCGCCGCUGAUCAUCACUUCGCUCCCAUCCAAAAGGAAAAGUGACAGUGGGAAACUGAGUCGAUUUCAAUCGUUUAAAGAGACGUAAAAAUAGCGAAAUUAAAAGUGGAUAAGAGUUUCCGCUCCGUCGCUACUCCAACAGACUGCAAACAUGGCGAGCGCCUCGUACCAUAUCUCUAAUCUAUUGGAAAAAAUGACAUCAAGCGACAAGGAUUUCAGAUUCAUGGCCACCAACGACCUGAUGUCGGAGCUGCAGAAAGACUCCAUCAAGCUGGACGAUGACAGUGAACGCAAGGUGGUCAAGAUGAUCCUCAAGCUACUGGAAGACAAAAACGGAGAGGUCCAGAAUCUAGCCGUCAAAUGCCUGGGCCCGUUGGUCAGUAAGGUGAAGGAGUACCAGGUGGAGACUAUAGUGGACACCCUGUGUACCAACAUGCUGGCAGACAAGGAGCAGCUCCGAGACAUCUCCAGCAUCGGACUGAAGACGGUCAUAGGAGAACUGCCCCCUGCGUCCAGCGGCUCGGCCCUGGCUGCCAGUGUGUGUAAAAAGAUAACAGGCCGUCUGACCAGUGCCAUCGCCAAGCAGGAGGAUGUGUCAGUUCAGCUGGAGGCUCUGGACAUCAUGGCUGACAUGCUCUGCAGACAGGGUGGUCUCCUGGUGAACUUUCACCCCUCCAUCCUGUCCUGCCUGCUUCCUCAGCUGACCAGCCCCCGCCUGGCGGUGAGGAAGAGGACCAUCAUCGCUCUGGGUCACCUGGUCAUGUCCUGUGGGAACCUGGUGUUUGUGGACCUGAUUGAACACCUGCUGUCAGAGUUGUCUCGUAACGACUCCAUGUCCACCACCCGUACCUACAUCCAGUGUAUCGCAGCCAUCAGCAGACAGGCCGGACACAGGAUCGGUGAGUACUUGGAGAAGAUCAUUCCUCUGGUGGUGAAGUUCUGUAACAUAGACGACGAUGAGCUGAGAGAAUACUGCAUCCAGGCCUUCGAGUCCUUCGUCAGGAGGUGUCCAAAGGAGGUUUAUCCACAUGUGGGCACUGUCAUUAGCAUCUGUCUGAAGUAUUUGACCUACGACCCCAACUAUAACUACGAUGACGAGGAUGAAGAUGAGAAUGCCAUGGAUGCUGACGGAGCAGACGAAGACUAUCAAGGAAGUGAUGACGAGUACAGCGACGACGACGACAUGAGCUGGAAGGUUCGCCGUGCGGCCGCCAAGUGUCUGGACGCCGUGGUCAGCACACGCCACGAGAUGCUGCCGGAGUUCUACCGGACCGUGUCGCCCGCGCUCAUCGCCCGCUUCAAGGAGCGGGAGGAGAACGUGAAGGCUGACGUGUUCCAUGCCUACCUGUCGUUGCUGAAGCAGACACGUCCUGCUCAGAGCUGGCUGUGUGACCCAGAUGCCAUGGAACAGGGAGAGACUCCACUCACCAUGCUGCAGAACCAGGUGCCAAUGAUCGUUAAGGCCCUGCAUAAGCAGAUGAAGGAGAAAAGUGUCAAAACAAGACAGUGCUGCUUCAACAUGCUGACGGAGCUGGUCAACGUGCUGCCUGGAGCCCUCACACAACAUAUCCCUGUCCUCGUACCAGGAAUCAUCUUCUCUCUCAACGACAAGUCCAGCUCGUCCAACCUGAAGAUCGAUGCCCUGUCCUGUCUGUAUGUGGUCCUGUGUAACCACCAGCCCCAAGUCUUCCACCCUCAUGUCCAGGCCCUGGUGCCGCCCGUGGUGGCGUGUGUAGGAGACCCCUUCUAUAAGAUCACCUCUGAGGCCCUGCUGGUCAGCCAACAGCUGGUCAAGGUCAUCAGACCUCUGGACCAGCCGGAGAGGAACACCUUCGAUGCUUCUCCCUACAUCACUGACCUCUUCACCUGCACCAUCAAACGCCUCAAGGCCGCCGACAUCGACCAGGAAGUGAAAGAGAGGGCCAUUUCCUGUAUGGGUCAGAUCAUCUGUAACCUAGGAGACAGCCUGGGGGACGACCUCCCUGGGACGCUGCACAUCUUCCUGGAGCGACUGAAGAAUGAGAUUACCAGACUGACCACGGUCAAGGCCCUCACACUCAUCGCAGGCUCCACGUUGAAGAUCGACCUUCGACCUAUCCUCGACGAGGCGGUGCCCAUCCUGGCGUCGUUCCUGCGUAAGAACCAGCGGGCGCUGAAACUGAGCACCCUGGCCGCGCUGGACAUCCUGGUGAAGAACUACAGCGACAGCGUGACUCCGGCCAUGAUCGACGCGGUGCUGGCCGAGCUACCUCCGCUGAUCAGCGAGAGUGACAUGCACGUGUCCCAGAUGGUCAUCAGCUUCCUGACCACCCUGGCCCGGGUCCACCCUCUCUCCCUGGCUAAGAUCGGGGGGUCGUCCAUCCUCUCGGAGCUCAUCUCUCUGGUCAGGUCUCCUCUGCUGCAGGGAGGGGCCCUCAGUGCCAUGCUAGAGUUCUUCCAGGCUCUGGUGGGUACAGGGACAUCCUCUCUGGGCUCUGGUGGGUACAGGGACAUCCUCUCUGGGCUCUGGUGGGUGGGACAUCCUGGGUUACAUGGACCUGCUCAGUCCGGUCCAGUCUACGCCCAGAGUGCUGCUCUAACGCACAAACAGUCCUACUACUCCAUCGCUAAAUGUGUGGCAGCCCUGACCCGUGCCUGUCCUGAUGAGGGUCCUGCCGUGGUAGGCCAGUUCAUCCAGGAUGUGAAGAACUCUCGGUCGACAGACUCCAUCAGGCUGCUGGCUCUGCUGUCACUGGGAGAGGUGGGACACCACGUAGACCUGAGCGGCCAACCGGAGCUCAAGACGGUCAUCCUGGACGCCUUCUCUUCCUCCUCCGAAGAGGUCAAGUCUGCCGCAUCCUACGCCCUGGGAUCCAUCGCCGUGGGCAACCUGCCGGAAUACCUGCCCUUCGUUCUGGGGGAGAUCUCGGGACAGCCCAAGAGGCAGUACCUGCUGCUACACUCACUCAAAGAGAUCAUCAGCUCGGCGUCUGUGACUGGUCUGAAACCCUACGUCGAGGGAGUAUGGACCCUGCUGUUGAAGCACUGUGAGUGUGCCGAGGAGGGCACCAGGAACGUGGUCGCAGAAUGUCUGGGGAAACUCACCCUCAUAGACCCAGAAACCCUGCUGCCCAGGCUUAAAGGAUACCUGCUCUCAGGAUCAUCUUAUGCCAGAAGCUCAGUCGUGACAGCAGUGAAGUUCACCAUCUCAGACCACCCACAGACAAUAGACCCUCUCCUGAAAAACUGCAUAGGUGACUUCUUGAAGACGUUGGAGGACCCACUGUACGUGAAAGGUUGCCCUGGUAACCUUCAACUCCGCAGCCCAUAAUAAGCCCUUCUCAGAGACCUACUGGAUCCAGGUCCUGACACCUUUACUUGAGACGUCCGGAGGAACUCAUCAGGACCUGGACGUUGAGAUGGGACCCUUUAAACACACAGUGGACGAUGGUCUGGACAUAAGGAAGGCAGCGUUUGAGUGCAUGUACACACUCCUGGACAGCUGUCUAGACAGACUAGACAUCUUUGAGUUCCUCAACCACGUAGAAGACGGACUCAAGGACCAUUACGACAUCAAGAUGCUGACGUUCCUGAUGCUGGAUCUCCACUCUGUGUCCCAGUGCUGUGCUACAGAGGCUGGACAGACUGGUUGAGAUCGCGCCACCUGCACCACCAAGGUGAAGGCCAACUCAGUGAAGCAGGAGUUUGAGAAGCAGGAUGAGUUGAAGCGGUCAGCCAUGCGGUCGGUGGUCGCCCUCCUCACCAUCCCCGAGGCGGAGAAGAGUCCCCUGAUGAGCGAGUUCCAGUCCCAGAUCUCCUCCAACCCCGAGCUGGCUGCCAUCUUUGAAAACAUCCAGAGAGACUCGUCCUCCGCUAACAUGGAGUCCAUGGACACCAGCUAAACUAUGACUCUCCCACAAUCCCCCUCUUCUUCCUUUCAUUCCCAAAACAUGAUGCCGCAACAGCAACAAAAAAUACCUGGGAGGAGGGGGGACCCUUUUAUCAAUCGUUCCAUGAUGCAUUGCACUGAAUCAGCAACAGUUAUAGGAGAAAAUAAAAAAUAAUUGAACUUUAAAACAAAAUGUAAAACAAAAAAUACAAGUAAAAGAAAGUUUCUCUUUAAAGCUUUUAAGCUCAUCACCACAUUUCUCAUUUCUAAAAAAAAACAACUUUAAAAAAAAACACGAAAUAAAUCCGUUUUUGGUUUGUUCCAUCGUU